AAAUUGAAGAGUUUGAUCAUGGCUCAGAUUGAACGCUGGCGGCAGGCCUAACACAUGCAAGUCGAACGGUAACAGGAAGCAGCUUGCUGCUUUGCUGACGAGUGGCGGACGGGUGAGUAAUGUCUGGGAAACUGCCUGAUGGAGGGGGAUAACUA
rnacentral:rRNA from 2 species